rnacentral:rRNA from 1 species
UUAAGCGACUAAGCGUACACGGUGGAUGCCCUGGCAGUCAGAGGCGAUGAAGGACGUGCUAAUCUGCGAAAAGCGUCGGUAAGGUGAUAUGAACCGUUAUAACCGGCGAUGUCCGAAUGGGGAAACCCAGUGUGAUUCGUCACACUAUCGUUAACUGAAUACAUAGGUUAACGAGGCGAACCGGGGGAACUGAAACAUCUAAGUACCCCGAGGAAAAGAAAUCAACCGAGAUUCCCCCAGUAGCGGCGAGCGAACGGGGAGCAGCCCAGAGUCUGAAUCAGCUUGUGUGUUAGUGGAACGGUCUGGAAAGUCCGACGGUACAGGGUGAUAGUCCCGUACACCAAAAUGCACAGGUUGUGAACUCGAAGAGUAGGGCGGGACACGUGGUAUCCUGUCUGAAUAUGGGGGGACCAUCCUCCAAGGCUAAAUACUCCUGACUGACCGAUAGUGAACCAGUACCGUGAGGGAAAGGCGAAAAGAACCCCGGCGAGGGGAGUGAAAAAGAACCUGAAACCGUGUACGUACAAGCAGUGGGAGCACCUUCGGGUGUGACUGCGUACCUUUUGUAUAAUGGGUCAGCGACUUAUAUUCUGUAGCAAGGUUAACCGUAUAGGGGAGCCGCAGGGAAACCGAGUCUUAACUGGGCGUUAAGUUGCAGGGUAUAGACCCGAAACCCGGUGAUCUAGCCAUGGGCAGGUUGAAGGUUGGGUAACACUAACUGGAGGACCGAACCGACUAAUGUUGAAAAAUUAGCGGAUGACUUGUGGCUGGGGGUGAAAGGCCAAUCAAACCGGGAGAUAGCUGGUUCUCCCCGAAAGCUAUUUAGGUAGCGCCUCGUGAAUUCAUCUUCGGGGGUAGAGCACUGUUUCGGCUAGGGGGUCAUCCCGACUUACCAACCCGAUGCAAACUACGAAUACCGAAGAAUGUUAUCACGGGAGACACACGGCGGGUGCUAACGUCCGUCGUGAAGAGGGAAACAACCCAGACCGCCAGCUAAGGUCCCAAAGUCAUGGUUAAGUGGGAAACGAUGUGGGAAGGCACAGACAGCCAGGAUGUUGGCUUAGAAGCAGCCAUCAUUUAAAGAAAGCGUAAUAGCUCACUGGUCGAGUCGGCCUGCGCGGAAGAUGUAACGGGGCUAAACCAUGCACCGAAGCUGCGGCAGCGACACUAUGUGUUGUUGGGUAGGGGAGCGUUCUGUAAGCCUGCGAAGGUGACCUGUGAGGCAUGCUGGAGGUAUCAGAAGUGCGAAUGCUGACAUAAGUAACGAUAAAGCGGGUGAAAAGCCCGCUCGCCGGAAGACCAAGGGUUCCUGUCCAACGUUAAUCGGGGCAGGGUGAGUCGACCCCUAAGGCGAGGCCGAAAGGCGUAGUCGAUGGGAAACAGGUUAAUAUUCCUGUACUUGGUGUUACUGCGAAGGGGGGACGGAGAAGGCUAUGUUAGCCGGGCGACGGUUGUCCCGGUUUAAGCAUGUAGGCUGAUUAUCCAGGCAAAUCCGGAUAAUCAAGGCUGAGGUGUGAUGACGAGGCACUACGGUGCUGAAGUAACAAAUGCCCUGCUUCCAGGAAAAGCCUCUAAGCAUCAGGUAACAUCAAAUCGUACCCCAAACCGACACAGGUGGUCAGGUAGAGAAUACCAAGGCGCUUGAGAGAACUCGGGUGAAGGAACUAGGCAAAAUGGUGCCGUAACUUCGGGAGAAGGCACGCUGGUGUGUAGGUGAAGCCCCUGCGGGUGGAGCUGAGACCAGUCGAAGAUACCAGCUGGCUGCAACUGUUUAUUAAAAACACAGCACUGUGCAAACACGAAAGUGGACGUAUACGGUGUGACGCCUGCCCGGUGCCGGAAGGUUAAUUGAUGGGGUUAUCCGUAAGGAGAAGCUCUUGAUCGAAGCCCCGGUAAACGGCGGCCGUAACUAUAACGGUCCUAAGGUAGCGAAAUUCCUUGUCGGGUAAGUUCCGACCUGCACGAAUGGCGUAAUGAUGGCCAGGCUGUCUCCACCCGAGACUCAGUGAAAUUGAACUCGCUGUGAAGAUGCAGUGUACCCGCGGCAAGACGGAAAGACCCCGUGAACCUUUACUAUAGCUUGACACUGAACAUUGAGCCUUGAUGUGUAGGAUAGGUGGGAGGCUUUGAAGCGUGGACGCCAGUCUGCGUGGAGCCAACCUUGAAAUACCACCCUUUAAUGUUUGAUGUUCUAACGUUGGCCCCUGACCGGGGUUGCGGACAGUGUCUGGUGGGUAGUUUGACUGGGGCGGUCUCCUCCCAAAGCGUAACGGAGGAGCACGAAGGUUAGCUAAUCCUGGUCGGACAUCAGGAGGUUAGUGCAAUGGCAUAAGCUAGCUUGACUGCGAGCGUGACGGCGCGAGCAGGUGCGAAAGCAGGUCAUAGUGAUCCGGUGGUUCUGAAUGGAAGGGCCAUCGCUCAACGGAUAAAAGGUACUCCGGGGAUAACAGGCUGAUACCGCCCAAGAGUUCAUAUCGACGGCGGUGUUUGGCACCUCGAUGUCGGCUCAUCACAUCCUGGGGCUGAAGUAGGUCCCAAGGGUAUGGCUGUUCGCCAUUUAAAGUGGUACGCGAGCUGGGUUUAGAACGUCGUGAGACAGUUCGGUCCCUAUCUGCCGUGGGCGCUGGAGAAUUGAGGGGGGCUGCUCCUAGUACGAGAGGACCGGAGUGGACGCAUCACUGGUGUUCGGGUUGUCAUGCCAAUGGCACUGCCCGGUAGCUAAAUGCGGAAGAGAUAAGUGCUGAAAGCAUCUAAGCACGAAACUUGCCCCGAGAUGAGUUCUCCCUGAGACUUUAAGUCUCCUGAAGGAACGUUGAAGACGACGACGUUGAUAGGCCGGGUGUGUAAGCGCAGCGAUGCGUUGAGCUAACCGGUACUAAUGAACCGUGAGGCUUAACCUU